GACGAACGCUGGCGGCGUGCUUAACACAUGCAAGUCGAACGGAAAGGCCCUGCUUGCAGGGUACUCGAGUGGCGAACGGGUGAGUAACACGUGGGUGAUCUGCCCUGCACUUCGGGAUAAGCCUGGGAAACUGGGUCUAAUACCGGAUAGGAGCCAUUUUUAGUGUGAUGGUUGGAAAGUUUUUUCGGUGUAGGAUGAGCUCGCGGCCUAUCAGCUUGUUGGUGGGGUAAUGGCCUACCAUGGCGGCGACGGGUAGCCGGCCUGAGAGGGUGGACGGCCACAUUGGGACUGAGAUACGGCCCAGACUCCUACGGGAGGCAGCAGUGGGGAAUAUUGCACAAUGGGCGCAAGCCUGAUGCAGCGACGCCGCGUGGGGGAUGACGGCCUUCGGGUUGUAAACUCCUUUCGCUAGGGACGAAGCUUUUUGUGACGGUACCUAGAGAAGAAGCACCGGCUAACUACGUG
rnacentral:rRNA from 1 species